AGAGCAUUUUUUUUAAGGCAUCUUAGACAUUACUUAUUUUAACCUGGAAUCAACCCUCGAUUUGUUGUGCAAAAUCACGUCGGGUAAGUAACGGGAGAAAAGUCGAAACGUUUAUAAGUGAAACUACAGACAUGGUUUUUCCUUUAUCCAGAAUAAAUUCGGCGUUUCAUAAAAUGCCCAGGAAUCACGUAAAAUGCCUAGGUUCUAUUUGAAAUAAUUGUCUACAUUACGCGUUUUCUCAAUAUUGCCCGAAACCAGUCGGUAUGUAUAAUGCCUAGAUAUAGUGCGAAAUUACUAAAUUGCCAAUAUUUCC